AUUGAACGCUGGCGGCAGGCCUAACACAUGCAAGUCGAACGAGUGGCGGACGGGUGAGCAAUGACUGGGAAACUGCUUGAUUGAGGGGGAUAACUCCUGGAAACGGUCGCUAAUACCGCAUACCAUCGGAUGAGCCCAGAUGGGAUUAGCUAGUAGGUGGGGUAAAGGCUCACCAAGGCGACGAUCCCUAGCUGGUCUGAGAGGAUGACCAGCCACACUGGAACUGAGACACGGGCCAGGCUCCUACGGAAGACAGCAGUGGGAAAUAGUGUACAAUGGGCGCAAGCCGGAUGCAGCCAUGACGCGUGUAUGAAGAAGGUCUUCGGGUGGUAAAGGACUUUCAGUGGGGAGGCGUUACAUGCAGAAGAAGCACCGGCUAACUCCGUGCCAGCGACCGCGGUAAUUC
rnacentral:rRNA from 1 species